rnacentral:rRNA from 1 species
GACGAACGCUGGCGGCGUGCUUAACUCAUGCAAGUCGAACGGAAAGGCCUGCUUUCCCUUGUGGAUUGCGGGUACUCGAGUGGCGAACGGGUGAGUAACACGUGAGUGAUCUGCCCCCAACUUGGGUAUAAGCCUGGGAAACUGGGUCUAAUUCCCGAUAGGACUGCAGGGUGGUGCCUGUGGUGGAAAACGAUUUUCUAGUGGUUGGGGAUGAGCUCGCGGCCUAUCAGCUUGUUGGUGGGGUAAUGGCCUACCAAGGCGGCGACGGGUAGCCGGCCUGAGAGGGUGGACGGGCACAUUGGGACUGAGAUACGGCCCAGACGCCUACGGGAGGCAGCAGUGGGGAAUAUUGCACAAUGGGCGGAAGCCUGAUGCAGCGACGCCGCGUGGGGGAUGACGGCCUUCGGGUUGUAAACUCCUUUCGACCGCGAGGAAGCCACCUGGUUGGAAGGGUGGUGACGGUAGUGGUAGAAGAGGCACCGGCUAACUACGUG